rnacentral:rRNA from 1 species
UACAGAGGGGGCAAGCGUUGUUCGGAAUUACUGGGCGUAAAGGGCGCGUAGGCGGCCUUCUAAGUCAGACGUGAAAUCCCCGGGCUCAACCCGGGAACUGCGUCUGAUACUGGAAGGCUUGAAUCCGGGAGAGGGAUGUGGAAUUCCAGGUGUAGCGGUGAAAUGCGUAGAUAUCUGGAGGAACACCGGUGGCGAAGGCGGCAUCCUGGACCGGUAUUGACGCUGAGGCGCGAAAAGCCAGGGGGAGCAAACGGG